CCCAGGCAAUGGGUCCCGCCCUUUCCACCGGCUCCGUGAUUUCAAACCACAUGUGGUUCUCUGAACAUACCUUGAUGACUUUGCAUGUGUGACUUCAUGCCCGCCUAUGGGAACAAAUGCAAUCUCCUACUUCUACCCUCCCUGAAUUCAAGCCUUUACAAAGACUCUCAUCCAGGUGAAGUCUGCAAAACCCCAUUGCAUAUUUUAUACAUACAGCACUACAGGACUGGCCACACUUCAAGGGCUCAGUGGCCACUGCAUUGGACAGAGCAGGUCUGAAGGAAGACUCUCAUUCUCUUAUUACCUAAAGGAACUAGAGAGCCUUAAAGGAAGGAGAGAACCUCUUAGGAAGUGAGCUCAAAUUUUAUUUAGCCAACUGUUCCAGUUUGAAUGUAUUAUGUCCCCCCAAACGCCAUUAUCUCUGAUGUAAUCUUGUGUGGGCAGACCUAUCAGUGUUAGAUUGUAAUUCUUUGAGUGUUU